CUACGGGACGCUGCAGUGAGGAAUAUUGCACAAUGGGGGGAACCCUGAUGCAGCAACGCCGCGUGGAGGAUGACGCAUUUCGGUGUGUAAACUCCUUUUAUAUGUCAAGAAAAUGACGGUAGCAUAUGAAUAAGCACCGGCUAACUCCGUGCCAGCAGCCGCGGUAAUACGGAGGGUGCAAGCGUUACUCGGAAUCACUGGGCGUAAAGGACGCGUAGGCGGGUUGGAAAGUCAGGUGUGAAAUCCUACAGCUUAACUGUAGAACUGCACUUGAAACUUCUAAUCUAGAGUAUGGGAGGGGGAGAUGGAAUUAGUGGUGUAGGGGUAAUAUCCGUAGAUAUCACUAGGAAUACCUAAAGCGAAGGCGAUCUGCUGGAACAUAACUGACGCUAAGGCGUGAAAGCGUGGGGAGCAAACAGGAUUAGAUACCCUCGUAGUC
rnacentral:rRNA from 1 species